rnacentral:rRNA from 1 species
AUGCCGAUCUCGAAAACCUGUCCCAGUUCGGACUGGAGUCUGCAACCCGACUCCACGAAGUUGGAUUCGCUAGUAAUCGCGCAUCAGCCAUGGCGCGGUGAAUACGUUCCCGGGCCUUGUACACACCGCCCGUCACACCAUGAGAGUUGGAAAUACCCGAAGCCUGUGAGCUAACUUUUAGAGGCAGCAGUCGAAGGUAGAGCCAAUGAUUGGGGUGAAGUCGUAACAAGGUAUC